GGCGGCAGGCUUAACACAUGCAAGUCGAUCGGUAACAGGGGUAGCUUGCUACCCGCUGACGAGCGGCGGACGGGUGAGUAAUGCAUAGGAAACUGCCCAGUAGUGGGGGAUAGCCCGGGGAAACCCGGAUUAAUACCGCAUACGUCCUUCGGGAGAAAGCAGGGGAUCUUCGGACCUUGCGCUAUUGGAUGUGCCUAUGUCGGAUUAGCUGGUUGGUGAGGUAAUGGCUCACCAAGGCGACGAUCCGUAGCUGGUCUGAGAGGAUGAUCAGCCACAUCGGGACUGAGACACGGCCCGAACUCCUACGGGAGGCAGCAGUGGGGAAUAUUGGACAAUGGGGGCAACCCUGAUCCAGCCAUGCCGCGUGUGUGAAGAAGGCUUUCGGGUUGUAAAGCACUUUCAGUGAGGAGGAAAAGUUAGUCCUUAAUACGGGCUAGCCUUGACGUUACUCACAGAAGAAGCACCGGCUAACUCCGUGCCAGCAGCCGCGGUAAUACGGAGGGUGCAAGCGUUAAUCGGAAUUACUGGGCGUAAAGCGCGCGUAGGUGGUUUGAUAAGCGAGAUGUGAAAGCCCCGGGCUUAACCUGGGAACGGCAUUUCGAACUGUCAGGCUAGAGUGUGGUAGAGGGUAGUGGAAUUUCCUGUGUAGCGGUGAAAUGCGUAGAUAUAGGAAGGA
rnacentral:rRNA from 1 species